UGGGGAAUAUUGCACAAUGGGCGCAAGCCUGAUGCAGCCAUGCCGCGUGUGUGAAGAAGGCCUUCGGGUUGUAAAGCACUUUCAGCGAGGAGGAAGGUGGUGGACUUAAUACGUUCAUCAAUUGACGUUACUCGCAGAAGAAGCACCGGCUAACUCCGUGCCAGCAGCCGCGGUAAUACGGAGGGUGCAAGCGUUAAUCGGAAUUACUGGGCGUAAAGCGCACGCAGGCGGUUUGUUAAGUCAGAUGUGAAAUCCCCGGGCUCAACCUGGGAACUGCAUUGAAACUGGCAAGCUAGAGUCUCGUAGAGGGGGGUAGAAUUCCAGGUGUAGCGGUGAAAUGCGUAGAGAUCUGGAGGAAUACCGGUGGCGAAGGCGGCCCCCUGGACGAAGGACCGACGCUCAGGUGCGAAAGCGUGGGGAGC
rnacentral:rRNA from 1 species